ACUUGACAUUACUUUACAGUAGCAAGUGUGAGAAGUUCUUUUAAGAAUAGAUGGUCAGGAAUGAAAUUAAGCCAAAAGAGGCAAACAUCGUAUCUGAGAACCAUUCAUUGGUAACAAAAAACAAACAAAAAACACCCCAAACCAAACCAAACCCCCUCCAAACCAAACAAACAAAAAACACCCACCAACCUAAAAAAAAAAAAAAAAGAAAAAAGAAAAAAAAAAGGAGUUGCCCCACUGAAGACGGCUCGAGAAGACCGAGCAUGAGGGACAGAGCAGACAGAGGGAAAAGAGAGACAGAGCGGUAUCAGCGAGGUCGGACAGAGCCGUCGGUGUCCCGAGGGGAUCGGGCUGGGCUCGCUGCCAGCCUGGGAACAGCUCCUGGCAGCCGGGAAUGGACACGGGGAUCAGGCAGGGAAUGGACACGGUGAGGGGAUCAGGCAGGAAUGGACACAGUGAGCAGAUCGGGCAGCAGGGAAUGGACAUGGUGAGGGGAUCGGGCAGCAGGGAAUGGACACGGUGAGGGGAUCGGGCAGCAGGGAAUGGACACGGUGAGGGGAUCGGGCAGCAGGGAAUGGACACGGUGAGGGGAUCGGGCAGCAGGGAAUGGACACGGUGAGGGGAUCGGGCAGGAAUGGACACGGUGAGCGGAUCGGGCAGGGAAUGGACACGGUGAGGGGAUCGGGCAGCAGGGAAUGGAGCCCGGGCAGGGCCGUGGCGAGGACGGGCCCUGGGCCCGCUCGGGCGGGCGGGUCACAGGGGUCAGGCUGGGGUGCUGGACGAGGCGGGCAGGCGCUGGUCAGGACACAGGGAGGGCGAGCAAGGGCCAGUGGGGGCAGGAGAGACAAAAGGCAGGGCUCCAGAAGCACGUUCAAAAGUCCCCCCAAAAAAGCCAAAAGGCAAGAGAUGGAACAGCCCCUGGAGCCUGGGGUGCAGUUUCUUUUUACGUCCCCGGCUCGUCCCCAAGUGUGCCCGCCGACAGGAGACCACUGGCCCGGUCCAAUGUCCCGGUCCAUUGUCAGAGACCUUUGGCAUCUGGCUGCAGAGCGUCCCUGGGUGCAGCGUCUGUGGGGUUCCCCUGCUGACUGCCCGGCCCACGGCAGAUGGGAGCUGGUGGCCAGGCAGAGUGACCCCAGGGACAAGGCUUUGCUCCCUCUUCUCCUGGCUGCCUCCUGGACAUGGCACACGUGUAUCCCUCCCCCACA
rnacentral:lncRNA from 12 species